UACGGGGGGAGCAAGCGUUGUUCGGAUUUACUGGGCGUAAAGGGCGCGUAGGCGGUCAGCACAAGUCAGUUGUGAAAUCUCCGGGCUUAACUCGGGAAAGGUCAACUGAUACUGUGCGACUAGAGUGCGGAAGGGGCAACUGGAAUUCUCGGUGUAGCGGUGAAAUGCGUAGAUAUCGGGAGGAACACCAGUGGCGAAGGCGACUUCCUGGCCUGUUCUUGACGCUGAGGCGCGAAAGCUAGGGUAGCAAACAGG
rnacentral:rRNA from 1 species